UACGUAGGGGGCAAGCGUUGUCCGGAAUUAUUGGGCGUAAAGAGCUCGUAGGCGGUGUGUCGUGUCGGUCGUGAAAACUUGGGGCUUAACCCUGAGCUUGCGGUCGAUACGGGCAUCACUGGAGUUCGGCAGGGGAGACUGGAAUUCCUGGUGUAGCGGUGAAAUGCGCAGAUAUCAGGAGGAACACCGGUGGCGAAGGCGGGUCUCUGGGCCGAUACUGACGCUGAGGAGCGAAAGCGUGGGGAGCGAACAGG
rnacentral:rRNA from 1 species